rnacentral:misc_RNA from 1 species
GCAAACUUGGUCAUUUAGAGGAAGUAAAAGUCGUAACAAGGUUUCCGUAGGUGAACCUGCGGAAGGAUCAUUACGAAAUGAACACUCUUCGCUCCUCAUGUUGGCGUCAAAACCUUCUGGGGAUGCAGAAGUUUCAACCCUUUGUGAACCAUAAAAAAACUUUCGCUUCGGCAGCAUGUCCGGGCUUAUGCUCUGGCUUGUCAGCCUGCCGGUGGCACAUCCAAACUAAACUUGUUGAAUGAACCUGUCUGAUAAACCAAUUUUCGAAUUGAAAAAAGUUAAAACUUUCAACAACGGAUCUCUUGGUUCUCGCAUCGAUGAAGAACGCAGC